UCCAACCCUAGUUCUGUGACUACCUGGCUGCAGGACCUGGAGCAAGACACUUUCCCCCUCCAAGCCUGGUGUUCCGGCUGCAAAAUGAAAACAGCUGUACCUACUUCACAGGCCUAGCAGCAGAGUUAAAUGGUCCAUGACAUGGACGGUCACAAAGGUGAAUUCACUUGCUCAAGAUCCAACACACACAAAAUGGAAGUGGUUCAAACCCAGGUGUGUCUGACUGCAGAGCCUGUGUUCUUCCCAGUAGAGAUGUGGAUGCAGCACAACUGGUAGAAAGGACCUGAGACUUAGUCAGAAGACCUCAGUUCACCCAAGGCUUUCUUUUCUUCACAUCUGGUCCAUCCUUCUAGAUUCCUGUUACUUGGACCCUCCAGACCACCCAGCAUGAUACCCACAGUGUUCUCCCUGAAAGGCCACGGAAC